rnacentral:rRNA from 1 species
AGAGUUUGAUCCUGGCUCAGAUUGAACGCUGGCGGCAGGCCUAACACAUGCAAGUCGAACGGUAACAGGAAGCAGCUUGCUGCUUUGCUGACGAGUGGCGGACGGGUGAGUAAUGUCUGGGAAACUGCCUGAUGGAGGGGGAUAACUACUGGAAACGGUGGCUAAUACCGCAUAACGUCGCAAGACCAAAGAGGGGGACCUUCGGGCCUCUUGCCAUCAGAUGUGCCCAGAUGGGAUUAGCUUGUUGGUGAGGUAACGGCUCACCAAGGCGACGAUCCCUAGCUGGUCUGAGAGGAUGACCAGCCACACUGGAACUGAGACACGGCCCAGACUCCUACGGGAGGCAGCAGUGGGGAAUAUUGCACAAUGGGCGCAAGCCUGAUGCAGCCAUGCCGCGUGUAUGAAGAAGGCCUUCGGGUUGUAAAGUACUUUCAGCGGGGAGGAAGGUGUUGUGGUUAAUAACCGCAGCAAUUGACGUUACCCGCAGAAGAAGCACCGGCUAACUCCGUGCCAGCAGCCGCGGUAAUACGGAGGGUGCAAGCGUUAAUCGGAAUUACUGGGCGUAAAGCGCACGCAGGCGGUCUGUCAAGUCGGAUGUGAAAUCCCCGGGCUCAACCUGGGAACUGCAUUCGAAACUGGCAGGCUUGAGUCUUGUAGAGGGGGGUAGAAUUCCAGGUGUAGCGGUGAAAUGCGUAGAGAUCUGGAGGAAUACCGGUGGCGAAGGCGGCCCCCUGGACAAAGACUGACGCUCAGGUGCGAAAGCGUGGGGAGCAAACAGGAUUAGAUACCCUGGUAGUCCACGCCGUAAACGAUGUCUACUUGGAGGUUGUGCCCUUGAGGCGUGGCUUCCGGAGCUAACGCGUUAAGUAGACCGCCUGGGGAGUACGGCCGCAAGGUUAAAACUCAAAUGAAUUGACGGGGGCCCGCACAAGCGGUGGAGCAUGUGGUUUAAUUCGAUGCAACGCGAAGAACCUUACCUGGUCUUGACAUCCACAGAAGAAUCCAGAGAUGGAUUUGUGCCCUCGGGAACUGUGAGACAGGUGCUGCAUGGCUGUCGUCAGCUCGUGUUGUGAAAUGUUGGGUUAAGUCCCGCAACGAGCGCAACCCUUAUCCUUUGUUGCCAGCGGUUAGGCCGGGAACUCAAAGGAGACUGCCAGUGAUAAACUGGAGGAAGGUGGGGAUGACGUCAAGUCAUCAUGGCCCUUACGACCAGGGCUACACACGUGCUACAAUGGCGCAUACAAAGAGAAGCGACCUCGCGAGAGCAAGCGGACCUCAUAAAGUGCGUCGUAGUCCGGAUUGGAGUCUGCAACUCGACUCCAUGAAGUCGGAAUCGCUAGUAAUCGUGGAUCAGAAUGCCACGGUGAAUACGUUCCCGGGCCUUGUACACACCGCCCGUCACACCAUGGGAGUGGGUUGCAAAAGAAGUAGGUAGCUUAACCUUCGGGAGGGCGCUUACCACUUUGUGAUUCAUGACUGGGGUGAAGUCGUAACAAGGUAACC